rnacentral:misc_RNA from 1 species
UGGUUCUGGCAUCGAUGAAGAACGCAGCGAAAUGCGAUAAGUAGUGUGAAUUGCAGAAUUCAGUGAAUCAUCGAAUCUUUGAACGCACAUUGCGCCCCUCGGUAUUCCGUGGGGCAUGCCUGUUCGAGCGUCAUUUACACCCUCAAGCACUGCUUGGUGUUGGGCGUCUGUCCCGCUUCGUGCGUGGACUCGCCCCAAAGUCAUUGGCGGCGAUCGUGCCAGCUUCUCGCGCAGCAUACGCGCUACGGAGGCAAGUCGAUCAGCAUCCACAAAGCACUUUUUACAGUUUGACCUCGGAUCAGGUAGGGAUACCCGCUGA